ACAUCGGUAGCACAGUGGUUAAUGCAGUCUGCAGAAAGACGUGGGUUCAAUUCCCGUCCGAUGUC
rnacentral:tRNA from 1 species